rnacentral:rRNA from 1 species
UGGGGAAUUUUGCGCAAUGGGGGAAACCCUGACGCAGCAACGCCGCGUGGACGAUGAAGGCCUUUGGGUCGUAAAGUCCUGUCAGCAGGGAAAAACACAAUGAUGGUACCUGCAGAGGAAGCUCCGGCUAACUUCGUGCCAGCAGCCGCGGUAAUACGAGGGGAGCAAGCGUUGUUCGGAAUCAUUGGGCGUAAAGGGCGCGUAGGCGGCCAGUACAAGUCUGGGGUGAAAUCCCUCGGCUUAACCGAGGAAUUGCCUUAGAAACUGUACGGCUUGAGUAUUGGAGAGGAAAGCGGAAUUCCCAGUGUAGCGGUGAAAUGCGUAGAUAUUGGGAGGAACACCGGUGGCGAAGGCGGCUUUCUGGACAAUCACUGACGCUGAGGCGCGAAAGCCAGGGGAGCAAACGG